CGCGCGCGGCGGCCGUUAGGCGGGCGGUUGGCCUGAGGGGGGAGCCCGACGCUGAGGGGGCCGGGCUGUGAGGGCACCCGGCGCUUCUCCGGCUGAGCGCCCGCCGCUCCUGUCGCUCGUGAACCCCUCACGGUGAGCGGUGACAGCGGCCGAAACGCGACGUAAAAUGGCUGGGGUGCGUGCUGCGAAGCGGGAGGGUCGCGUCUCGAAACAUGGGGGGUCCCAGCUCGGGAUGCGGCCGCUGAACGUGCCGUGGCACGGCUGUGUUUACAAAAAGUAAAAGCGUCAGCUCCGUAUCCCGCUCAUAACCUCCACAUAAAACAACAGGUCCCGCCUCCCGGGAGCCGCAGAGCACGGGAACCGGUGCCCCGUCAGUGCUGCCCUCUGAGGGGACAGCUCCGGGCGUAGGUGUACCGUACCUCAGCAAGCAACUUCUAGUUUGGCCUUUUACAUAAAGGAGAAAGAAGAUUUGCUUCUCACACUCCCUCUGAAGAGAUACAUGUGUAGGAUUCAUAAGGAGGAGGCUCUGUAGGAGGGAGAAAACAUCAUAGUGGUGUAUGUAGGAGGAUAAGCAGGAAAACAAAAAGGAGGCAGUCUUCACAUUUUGGAAAGGAGAGAGACUGUUUCAAAAUAGUGAGGGAUCAGAGCUUACUUCCCUCGCAAGUGAAUAUAGCUCUGCAGAAGUCAGAGUCAAUUAAGCUGCAUCAGUUUCUGACACGAUUCGGCCAGCUAUCUUCAUCAGGGUAUCUUCAGUGCCUUUAGAUUCUACCAGGAAUGGGGAAACUCUUGGAAACUCACCCUUUGAAGAACUGCCCAGGGAACGAAUACAGAUAACUGUGCUAUAUUGGGGAACCAGGUUCCUCUCUCCUCAACACAAGCUGUAAAAGGGAUGGUUUGGCUCUGGGACCGUGUAUGCGCCAUGUGUAUUACUCUGACACUUCAGACAGCUGCUAGUCUGAAGAUCACGAUUUGGAAAGCCUAAUCUGAGCAAAUAACCUUGUUCUCUGCUUACUGAAUUCAUUUAGCUAGCCACAUUGUGAAGCUACAUCGCAAGCCACUCGCGAUCUUUGAGAUGAACUGUUACUCUUUAAAUAAUGCUUUAUACUGAAAUAUUUAUUCC